AGCGAACAGAAGGGAGCUUGCUCCCGGAUGUUAGCGGCGGACGGGUGAGUAACACGUGGGUAACCUGCCUGUAAGACUGGGAUAACUCCGGGAAACCGGAGCUAAUACCGGAUAGUUCCUUGAACCGCAUGGUUCAAGGAUGAAAGACGGUUUCGGCUGUCACUUACAGAUGGACCCGCGGCGCAUUAGCUAGUUGGUGGGGUAAUGGCUCACCAAGGCGACGAUGCGUAGCCGACCUGAGAGGGUGAUCGGCCACACUGGGACUGAGACACGGCCCAGACUCCUACGGGAGGCAGCAGUAGGGAAUCUUCCGCAAUGGACGAAAGUCUGACGGAGCAACGCCGCGUGAGUGAUGAAGGUUUUCGGAUCGUAAAGCUCUGUUGUUAGGGAAGAACAAGUGCGAGAGUAACUGCUCGCACCUUGACGGUACCUAACCAGAAAGCCACGGCUAACUACGUGCCAGCAGCCGCGGUAAUACGUAGGUGGCAAGCGUUGUCCGGAAUUAUUGGGCGUAAAGGGCUCGCAGGCGGUUUCUUAAGUCUGAUGUGAAAGCCCCCGGCUCAACCGGGGAGGGUCAUUGGAAACUGGGAAACUUGAGUGCAGAAGAGGAGAGUGGAAUUCCACGUGUAGCGGUGAAAUGCGUAGAGAUGUGGAGGAACACCAGUGGCGAAGGCGACUCUCUGGUCUGUAACUGACGCUGAGGAGCGAAAGCGUGGGGAGCGAACAGGAUUAGAUACCCUGGUAGUCCACGCCGUAAACGAUGAGUGCUAAGUGUUAGGGGGUUUCCGCCCCUUAGUGCUGCAGCUAACGCAUUAAGCACUCCGCCUGGGGAGUACGGUCGCAAGACUGAAACUCAAAGGAAUUGACGGGGGCCCGCACAAGCGGUGGAGCAUGUGGUUUAAUUCGAAGCAACGCGAAGAACCUUACCAGGUCUUGACAUCCUCUGACAACCCUAGAGAUAGGGCUUUCCCUUCGGGGACAGAGUGACAGGUGGUGCAUGGUUGUCGUCAGCUCGUGUCGUGAGAUGUUGGGUUAAGUCCCGCAACGAGCGCAACCCUUGAUCUUAGUUGCCAGCAUUUAGUUGGGCACUCUAAGGUGACUGCCGGUGACAAACCGGAGGAAGGUGGGGAUGACGUCAAAUCAUCAUGCCCCUUAUGACCUGGGCUACACACGUGCUACAAUGGACAGAACAAAGGGCUGCAAGACCGCAAGGUUUAGCCAAUCCCAUAAAUCUGUUCUCAGUUCGGAUCGCAGUCUGCAACUCGACUGCGUGAAGCUGGAAUCGCUAGUAAUCGCGGAUCAGCAUGCCGCGGUGAAUACGUUCCCGGGCCUUGUACCCCCCGCCCGUCACACCACGAGAGUUUGCAACACCGGGAAGUCGGUGAGGUAACCUUUAUGGAG
rnacentral:rRNA from 1 species